rnacentral:lncRNA from 1 species
ACCUAAAGGGACAAUGAUUUGGGAGUGUUCUGGAGGCUAUCUAUGCUGAAAAUAAGUGCGAGGUACACCAGC